GACAGUUUGGCAUAGUGGUUUGAGUGUUUGACUAUGACUCUGGAAACCAGGGUUCAAUUCCCCACUUGGCCA
rnacentral:tRNA from 1 species